rnacentral:rRNA from 1 species
AGUGAACGCUGGCGGUAGGCCUAACACAUGCAAGUCGAACGGCAGCACAGUAAGAGCUUGCUCUUACGGGUGGCGAGUGGCGGACGGGUGAGGAAUACAUCGGAAUCUACUUUUUCGUGGGGGAUAACGUAGGGAAACUUACGCUAAUACCGCAUACGACCUACGGGUGAAAGCAGGGGAUCUUCGGACCUUGCGCGAUUGAAUGAGCCGAUGUCGGAUUAGCUAGUUGGCGGGGUAAAGGCCCACCAAGGCGACGAUCCGUAGCUGGUCUGAGAGGAUGAGCAGCCACACUGGAACUGAGACACGGUCCAGACUCCUACGGGAGGCAGCAGUGGGGAAUAUCGGACAAUGGGCGCAAGCCUGAUCCAGCCAUACCGCGUGGGUGAAGAAGGCCUUCGGGUUGUAAAGCCCUUUUGUUGGGAAAGAAAAGCAGCAGGUUAAUACCCCGCUGUUCUGACGGUACCCAAAGAAUAAGCACCGGCUAACUUCGUG